UACGUAGGGGGCAAGCGUUGUCCGGAAUUAUUGGGCGUAAAGAGCGCGUAGGCGGUCCGAUAAGUCGGCUGUGAAAGUCAGGGGCUCAACCCUUGGAAGCCGGCCGAUACUGUCGGACUAGAGUCCGGAAGAGGCGAGUGGAAUUCCCGGUGUAGCGGUGAAGUGCGCAGAUAUCGGGAGGAACACCAAUGGCGAAGGCAGCUCGCUGGGACGGUACUGACGCUGAGGCGCGAAAGCGUGGGGAGCAAACAGG
rnacentral:rRNA from 1 species